AUAAACAAAAAGAAAAAGAGAAGAAAGAAUAUCAUGAAAACACUAAAUCUCUGUCUGUCUGAUUGUGCGGGUCUAUUUUUGUGUGUUUUUUUAUGCGUUUCGUCCGUUUCAUUAAUCC
rnacentral:ribozyme from 1 species